rnacentral:rRNA from 1 species
ACACGGGGGGGGCAAGCGUUGUUCGGAAUUAUUGGGCGUAAAGCGUAUGUAGGUGGUUGGACAAGUCAGGCGUGUAAGCCCACGGCUCAACCGUGGAAUUGCGUUUGAAACUAUCCGACUUGAGUGCAGAAGAGGAAAGCGGAAUUUCCAGUGUAGCGGUGAAAUGCGUUGAUAUUGGGAAGAACACCUGUGGCGAAGGCGGCUUUCUGGUCUGUUACUGACACUGAGAUACGAAAGCCAGGGGAGCAAACGGGAUUAGAAACCCCAGUAGUCC